GGCCGGUUAGCUCAGUUGGUGACGGCGUGGUGCCAACAAUGCCAAGGUCGCGGGCUCGAUCCCCGUGCAGGCCA